AGAUAUGUAAGCUAAGUUUAAGCUAUUGGAUUCAUAUUUCGAUUAUAGAUGACCCGGUCUCUUAUCUG
rnacentral:tRNA from 1 species